rnacentral:rRNA from 1 species
UACGGAGGGGGCUAGCGUUGUUCGGAAUUACUGGGCGUGAAGCGCACGUAGGCGGCUUGGUAAGUUAGAGGUGAAAGCCUGGAGCUCAACUCCAGAAUUGCCUUUAAGACUGCCGAGCUAGCAGGUGAGAGAGGUGAGUGGAAUUCCGAGUGUAGAGGUGAAAUUCGUAGAUAUUCGGAAGAACACCAGUGGCGAAGGCGGCUCACUGGCUCAUACUGGACGCUGAGGUGCGAAAGCGUGGGGAGCAAACAGG